rnacentral:rRNA from 1 species
AACGAACGCUGGCGGCAUGCCUAACACAUGCAAGUCGAACGAGACCUUCGGGUCUAGUGGCGCACGGGUGCGUAACGCGUGGGAACCUGCCCUUAGGUUCGGAAUAACUCCCCGAAAGGGGUGCUAAUACCGGAUAAUGUCUUCGGACCAAAGAUUUAUCGCCCUUGGAUGGGCCCGCGUUGGAUUAGCUGGUUGGUAGGGUAAAAGCCUACCAAGGCGACGAUCCAUAGCUGGUCUGAGAGGAUGAUCAGCCACACUGGGACUGAGACACGGCCCAGACUCCUACGGGAGGCAGCAGUGGGGAAUAUUGGACAAUGGGCGAAGGCCUGAUCCAGCAAUGCCGGGUGAGUGAUGAAGGCCUUAGGGUUGUAAAGCUCUUUUACCCGGGAUGAUAAUGACAGUACCGGGAGAAUAAGCACCGGCUAACUCCGUG